UACGUAGGGGGCAAGCGUUGUCCGGAAUCAUUGGGCGUAAAGAGCGUGUAGGCGGCUCGGUAAGUCCGCUGUGAAAGUCCAGGGCUCAACCCUGGAAUGCCGGUGGAAACUGUCGAGCUAGAGUCCGGAAGAGGCGAGUGGAAUUCCUGGUGUAGCGGUGAAAUGCGCAGAUAUCAGGAGGAACACCGGUGGUGUAGACGGCUAUCUGGACCGUAACUGACGCUGAGGCACGAAAGCGUGGGUAGCAAACAGG
rnacentral:rRNA from 1 species